rnacentral:rRNA from 1 species
UACGUAGGUGGCAAGCGUUGCUCGGAAUCACUGGGCGUAAAGCGCACGUAGGCGGGUUGUUAAGUCGGGGGUGAAAUCCUGGAGCUCAACUCCAGAACUGCCUUCGAUACUGGCGACCUUGAGUCCGGGAGAGGUGAGUGGAACUCCGAGUGUAGAGGUGAAAUUCGUAGAUAUUCGGAAGAACACCAGUGGCGAAGGCGGCUCACUGGCCCGGUACUGACGCUGAGGUGCGAAAGCGUGGGGAGCAAACAGG